UACUACUGCGCUGUGUAUGAGAUAAACAUCACCAAGGAUAAAAAGGGAGUUAUACACUCUGAAGAUAUUUAUCACUAUGGAAAAAGAAUCACUCGACUCUCUCUACUUGUUCCUUGUACUGAUCUCCCCCAAACCCCCUCCACUCCUCCUGUAUCAGACUGUAGUGUCUGCUGGAAGCUGCUGGUCAGUGUGUGUCCUGUGUGUGUUCUCCUCUUCUCCACCUGUGUGUACUGCACCUGCAGAUACACAACUAAAGCUCCAGGACAUGAAGAGGGAAGAGAACUACUGACUGAAA